UCCCUGAUGGUCCAGUAGCCAGGACUCAGCACUUUCACUGCUGGGGCCCAAGUUCCAUUCCUGGUCAGGGAA
rfam:TPA: Bos taurus chromosome 8, whole genome shotgun sequence.